rnacentral:rRNA from 1 species
UGGGGAAUAUUGGACAAUGGGCGCAAGCCUGAUCCAGCCAUGCCGCGUGAACGAUGAAGGCCUUAGGGUUGUAAAGUUCUUUUGUCAGGGAAGAUAAUGACGGUACCUGAAGAAUAAGCACCGGCUAACUUCGUGCCAGCAGCCGCGGUAAUACGAAGGGUGCUAGCGUUGUUCGGAAUCACUGGGCGUAAAGCGCGCGUAGGCGGCUUAACAAGUCAGAGGUGAAAGCCUGGAGCUCAACUCCAGAACUGCCUUUGAAACUGUUAAGCUUGAGUGUCGGAGGGGAUAGCGGAAUUUCUAAUGUAGAGGUGAAAUUCGUAGAUAUUAGAAGGAACACCGGUGGCGAAGGCGGCUAUCUGGACGACAACUGACGCUGAGGCGCGAAAGCGUGGGGAGCAAACAGGAUUAGAUACCCCAGUAGUCCCUGAGCGGGCUGGCAAGGCGCAU